GUGGGCGCCGUUCUGAUAAAUAGAAAAGCAAAAGCAGUGUCCGCACCGGCUGUUUCUUCCCAGACCACUUCUGGCCGAGACCUCCCAGCCAGUUUGUGGCAGACGUGGGCUCAGACCCAGAUGGGACGGCUCCGAGCUCCGGCCCCGCAUCAAGUGCUUCUCCCCCGCAGGCCCCUGUCUGCUGCGGGCCUUUGAUGAGCAGAUGUGUAGGGGGAGCCCCGGGUGGGGAGAUGCCCGAGGCGUGGGCUGCAGGCCCUGACCCUGGGGCAGGUGGGUGGGGUGAGGGCAGCAGGGGAGGGACUGGAGAGAGGAGCCAGUGUCGGGGGCUGCUGUGCUCAGAGCCAUGAAGCCCUGCAGGAUGGGGGAAGAGAUGUGGAAUUCGUUCUCAUGCUCUGGCGGCGCGGGGUGGAGGGACACAGGUGGUUGGGAGAUGGGAGGGUGUCUGUGGACACGGAGGGAGAGGGCUCCUCCAAGAGGCAGGGCUGAGAAUCAGUGAUGAGUUGGAUGCUGGGGGCAGGGAGGGAGGAGGAGGCCAAGGUUCCAGGCUCAGCCCUACAGGGCAUGGGCCCCUCAACUCCAGGGAGUGUAGCUGGAGCUCAGGUGAGGUGGGGACCCCAGUGAGCACACAGCCUGAGGCUCAGGCCGGGGUGGAGGUGGAGAGCCUGGGGCUGUGGCCCAGGGUGGUGCUGGAGGCCCACGUGCUCAUAGCAGCCAGGCCUAAAGGGAGGAGAGUCAUCCAGAAGCUGGGUCUGGGGGCAGGUGAACUUGAGGGGGACUGGGACGCUGUCUGAGCCAUUUCCAGGGCUGCUGGUUUCAGGAGACAGUGGGGAGGGUGGCGGAGUCCAGGUGACUGGGAGCUGAGGGGAAGUGGCUCACGCUGGUGUUAACGGGAUAAAUGUGGCGUCAGACGGCGAGGACCCGGAGGAGGUGCAGUGUGAGGAGUGACAUUUGGCGAAGGUGUGCCCUGGGGUGGGCACUGUGGGACCUGGACCUCUGGGCCGGCCCUCCCACAGGCACAGGCAGCAUUUCACAGCCAUUUCCUGUCUACUGGGCACCCCAGUUCUCCUGCACUGGGUGGGGACUGAGGGGCAGAGGUCAGAGGGCACAGGGUCCACUUGUGUGGUCCCAGUGCUGGGACCCUCCACUGCUCAGCUGCUCAGACCUGACUUACCUGCAUCCCAGGUGCUGAGACACAGCAGUCUCCUGGAGGCUGGAACAGCAGGACCGGAGUUUGGGGGUGUGAUGCCGAGCUGCUCAUUCCUUCCCAGCCCCCAGUUCCCUCCUCUGUAAAACGCAGAUGAUUUGGGGAUGGGGUGGGUUGAGCAGGAGGCAGGAGAUGACAGGGGCUGGAGAGGGGGCAUUAGG
rnacentral:lncRNA from 1 species